rnacentral:lncRNA from 1 species
GGUAGUUUUCCUGCUGACAGAAAUGCAAGUACUCACCCACCUGCUAACUCCCGGGCCUCCGAGGGAGCUGCCUUCUCCCCAGGGCCAGGGAACCUUGGUGGCUCUGUGUUUUGGGGAGCAGCAGCAUUGCCUGGGAACUUGCAGAAGGUGUGGAAUCUCGGGCCCCGCCCACCUGAGUCAGAAGCUGUGCUGGACACAGGUCACCACUCCCUCUGCCAAGGACACCUGCUCGGCCCAGGGAGUGGGGUGCUGUGUUGCAGGCAAGCCAUGGCUCUCAGAUGGGCAGAUACCAACAGUGAGUGCCAGGGGCUGAUGGGCAGCCAGAAGAGGGCCCAGGAGUAGGUCCCAGGGACCCUGACGCUUAAGGGUCUGGUGAGGAAACAUGGCCCUGCAGGGGGUACAGGAUGUGGGGAGCAGCCAGACCACCCUCACUCUCAGACCUUCUGUGGCUCAUUCGGACUGGAAGCUCUGGGUGGACAAGGGUGGAUCCUUCACAUUCUGUUAUAUCCCCAGAAAUAGGCAUAUAACGGGCACAGGUGCUGUCACUGAAGAGCUGGCAGCUGACAAGGGAUGAAGGGGUAAAUACCGAGCUGUCCACCAUGACAGGCUGGCAACAGGGCCAGCCUGAACCUCCAUCACGUGGGCCUAGCACCCGCACCCAGGAGACUCGGCCACUCCAUCUCGAAUCUCAGCGGAAACAGACGGGGAGGGCGUUCCAGGUGUGGCCAGCUGUGAC